rnacentral:rRNA from 1 species
GAUGAACGCUGGCGGCGUGCCUAAUACAUGCAAGUCGAGCGAACAGAUAAGGAGCUUGCUCCUUUGAAGUUAGCGGCGGACGGGUGAGUAACACGUGGGUAACCUACCUAUAAGACUGGGAUAACUUCGGGAAACCGGAGCUAAUACCGGAUAACAUUUAGAACCGCAUGGUUCUAAAGUGAAAGAUGGUUUUGCUAUCACUUAUAGAUGGACCCGCGCCGUAUUAGCUAGUUGGUAAGGUAACGGCUUACCAAGGCGACGAUACGUAGCCGACCUGAGAGGGUGAUCGGCCACACUGGAACUGAGACACGGUCCAGACUCCUACGGGAGGCAGCAGUAGGGAAUCUUCCGCAAUGGGCGAAAGCCUGACGGAGCAACGCCGCGUGAGUGAUGAAGGGUUUCGGCUCGUAAAACUCUGUUAUUAGGGAAGAACAAAUGUGUAAGUAACUGUGCACAUCUUGACGGUACCUAAUCAGAAAGCCACGGCUAACUACGUGCCACCAGCCGCGGUAAUACGUAGGUGGCAAGCGUUAUCCGGAAUUAUUUGGGCGUAAAGCGCGCGUAGGCGGUUUCUUAAGUCUGAUGUGAAAGCCCACGGCUCAAUCGUGGAGGGUCAUUGGAAACUGGGAAACUUGAGUGCAGAAGAGGAAAGUGGAAUUCCAUGUGUAGCGGUGAAAUGCGCAGAGAUAUGGAGGAACACCAGUGGCGAAGGCGACUUUCUGGUCUGUAACUGACGCUGAUGUGCGAAAGCGUGGGGAUCAAACAGGAUUAGAUACCCUGGUAGUCCACGCCGUAAACGAUGAGUGCUAAGUGUUAGGGGGUUUCCGCCCCUUAGUGCUGCAGCUAACGCAUUAAGCACUCCGCCUGGGGAGUACGACCGCAAGGUUGAAACUCAAAGGAAUUGACGGGGACCCGCACAAGCGGUGGAGCAUGUGGUUUAAUUCGAAGCAACGCGAAGAACCUUACCAAAUCUUGACAUCCUUUGAAAACUCUAGAGAUAGAGCCUUCCCCUUCGGGGGACAAAGUGACAGGUGGUGCAUGGUUGUCGUCAGCUCGUGUCGUGAGAUGUUGGGUUAAGUCCCGCAACGAGCGCAACCCUUAAGCUUAGUUGCCAUCAUUAAGUUGGGCACUCUAGGUUGACUGCCGGUGACAAACCGGAGGAAGGUGGGGAUGACGUCAAAUCAUCAUGCCCCUUAUGAUUUGGGCUACACACGUGCUACAAUGGACAAUACAAAGGGCAGCUAAACCGCGAGGUCAUGCAAAUCCCAUAAAGUUGUUCUCAGUUCGGAUUGUAGUCUGCAACUCGACUACAUGAAGCUGGAAUCGCUAGUAAUCGUAGAUCAGCAUGCUACGGUGAAUACGUUCCCGGGUCU